UACGGGGGGGGGUAAGCGUUGUUCGGAAUUACUGGGCGUAAAGGGCUCGUAGGCGGCCAACUAAGUCAUACGUGAAAUCCCUCAGCUUAACUGGGGAACUGCGUGUGAUACUGGAUGGCUUGGAUUUGGGAGAGGGAUGCGGAAUUCCAGGUGUAGCGGUGAAAUGCGUAGAUAUCUGGAGGAACACCGGUGGCGAAGGCGGCAUCCUGGACCAAUAUUGACGCUGAGGAGCGAAAGCGUGGGGAGCGAACAGG
rnacentral:rRNA from 1 species